GCUCCCAUGUGUCUUAUCCUCAAACUGCCAAUUUCUUUCGUCUAUCCUCCUUCCACCUGUCCCUUCCGUGUUUCCUCCUUCGUCCGAUGAGAAGAUCGAAGCCCUCUCUCAAUUGAGUCUGUCGAUCUCUCCGAUGCCGAUUACCACCUACUUCCAUAGCCGAGGAGCCAUAUCUAGAGAUCAAAAGGAGGUGAAAAUUCGUCCUUUCAAGAAGCAAGACGAUUGGAAAGGAAAAAGGAAAGAAGCCGCCAGAUGGCAUGCAAAGCCAGGAACUGUAGGUACCACACGUAUUCUUCUAUAUUUAGUAAUUCUGAAGGUUUUUUAGGGUUUGCACCGAUUACGUUUGUUCAUCCUUCUAACUCAAUACUUUGGAACGAUUCCUGGUACCGAGUUUUGUACUGGAGUGUUUGCAUAGGUACUGAGACAUGUGCCUCAGUAAAGGUUGUGGUACUAUAUUCGAUUCCUUGUUAAUUUGCUCUGGUACCGAGUUUUUGAAUUGAUUUUUGUCCCACAGAUUUUUCUCUGGUUCUGUUUUUUGUACUAGAGUUUUUAUGCAGGUAAAUAGCCACGACCAAUUGGGAGUGGGAGUCAAUCCAUUAAGGGUAGUUUACCUUGGCAGCAACAGUAGACAACAUGGUAGAAAUUAUUAUCUGAAGGCAUGCUUCCUUGGUAGUUGGAGCAGGUGACUUGGUUGCUGGCUGAGAUUGCCGCAUAGCUGAAGGCCAGAGACGACAGUUCAAGGAGCAGCUGAGGAGGGAGUAUGAGUACUACACCAAGAAGAUGUGGUACCUCCGUUACCUCACUCGCCAUCAGACCGGGUUGGAUUACCCACCACCUUCAUUUCCUUGAGGAGACCAGUGACCAGGUUCCAUCGAUUCUCUUAGGAAUUUUUCAUUUCUUUCUUUUCGGACCUAAAAUCUAAUUUUUGUAUGUGGGACUAUGACACUUGUCCUAGUUCCUUUUUACUUUUAGUUUUGGUUUUGUGUGUUUGUUUCAGGAGUUAGUGUCGCCAUUGAGCUCGAGUUUCGUGGAUCACGCUUUCUUGUCUCUCCAGUUUCUCGCAAUUUCUAGGUAUUCUCAUGCUACUAUUUCAUGCAUAUUUGUCUAACAUUGGGUAGAAGUUUAGGGUGUUUCGUGCAUUUCUAGUUUAUAUAUCAAUUUAGUGUCUUGGUCCAUUUGAUGUCAUUUUGGAGUGUUUUUUUCCUAGAUUUUAGGUACAUGACGGCGAGGUAGUAAUCAAAGCAAUAGAAUGUGCGUGGAUGAGAUGGACGGAUCAGAAAGAUGAAGGAUAAUUCGAAUGCUAAAGAUGGGUGUAAUAUGUUCCUAAGAUCGAUGUAAUGUUUGUCGCACAUUACCCGUCUACAUUGCAUAUUACACUGACAAAAGGGAGGAACUAUGUGUUUUUGGGCAUAAUAUUCGCUUAACGUCCGUUAUAAUGUGAAAGUAUGGUAGAUCUCUAUUUAAGCCCUAAUUCGAGAUUUUUAGAGGGGGGAGAGCCAUGUCAAUUACCUAAAACACAUUUUGAAAAAGGGGUGAAAUUCUUGGGAGCCUAGGAAAACCACGUGAAUGAAGAUUUAAAACGGAAUAGCCAAGGAAUCGAAGGCCAGUGGAGGAUCUACCAUCUACUUCGAAGCAUUGCAGUUUGUAGCAUUCUCCACUACUUCCAUGGAUAACUAGGUUUUCUCUUCUUAUUUGGGUUUUUUGGAUUCCUUUGGAUUUAUGGGAUUUUUUUUGUAUGUAGUGAAAGGAUUUAUGUGGUUUGCAGGUUUCUCUAGUUUUCAUGUUUUAGGUUUUCAGUUGAGAUUGAUUGGAGUUGUUUGUUCAAUGGGUGUUAGGGAGAGUUACAAGUGGGUUUAGGCCGUCAUGUUAAUAGACCCUAUCUCAAUGACCCUAAACAUGUUGUUUUCCAUGUCCUGUCUAUUCAGGGUGGUUUCAUGGUAUGGUCCGCUAUACGGCUAUCCAAACAAUGUUAGGGGUGGCUGAUGCGAGGUAGAUGCCUACGAAGCCAUAUUCUCACAUUACUAGAGUAGUGACUAGAUAGACUUCUAUGUUCCCUCCACAUUUUCAGUCUCAAUUGUAUGUGAUGUUUAGAUAGACAGUCAGUGGUUAUCAUUGACCCCAGUCCAUAUCUUAUAUGUAUGUACAACUAUGGAACAACCGGAGCCAAUGCCACUGAUAACACUUGAUUUACC
rnacentral:lncRNA from 1 species